rnacentral:rRNA from 1 species
GACGAACGCUGGCGGCGUGCUUAACACAUGCAAGUCGAACGGAAAGGCCCUGCUUUUGUGGGGUGCUCGAGUGGCGAACGGGUGAGUAACAAGUGAGUAACCUGCCCUUGACUUUGGGAUAACUUCAGGAAACUGGGGCUAAUACAGGCUAGGAGCUCCUGCUGCAUGGUGGGGGUUGGAAAGUUUCGGCGGUUGGGGAUGGAAUCGCGGCUUAUCAGCUUGUUGGUGGGGUAGUGGCUUACCAAGGCUUUGACGGGUAGCCGGCCUGAGAGGGUGACCGGCCACAUUGGGACUGAGAUACCGCCCAGACUCCUACGGGAGGCAUCAGUGGGGAAUAGUGCACAAUGGGCGGAAGCCUGAUGCAGCAACGCCGCGUGCGGGAUGACGGCCUUCGGGUUGUAAACCGCUUUCGCCUGUGACGAAGCGUGAGUGACGGUAAUGGGUAAAGAAGCACCGGCUAACUACGUG